AGUGAUGGAGGUGGGAAGGAUUCAGGCGAGCGCUUGGUUCCGGGUGUUCGGUGUGUGAUGGGGCUGAAGCGGCAAUUUUGGGGGAGCGGGAUUUGGUAGGCGUUGGCAGACGGGGCCGGAUUCUGCACAUCCCCCGUGGAUCCUGCCCUGCAAUAAAUUGCUCUGGCUCAAAGAGAGACGGGGUGCAGGUUUGCCGGCAUCACUUCAGUGGGAUGCUUGGGACUUCUUGAGCGCACAAGCUGCCAUGCAGGUAGUUUAUAUUAAUUACGGGCAAGUUAUUUAUAUCUUGAUGUGGGUGUUAACGUGUGGUUGGGUAUUUUUUGGUUUUAAGGCGCAUAUUUACGUGCCGGCUGUGCAAAAGGGCACAGUGGAACUGCAGAGGGGGGCAUUGGCAGGCAGCCUGCCUGUGCCACCACUCUGGGUGGCAUGGAGUGGCCGGGGUCACCAUCCCAGCAUGGCACGUGCUCUACUGGGGUGUCCAGUGGGGUUGGGUUUGACCACCCAUGGGUGCUGCCAGUCCCUGUUCCGUGGGCUCGGGGAUGGCUGGAGGGGACCAGCGGCUCCCCGCCGCAUCGGUCCCUCGUGGAGGACCACUCCGUCUAGGCUAGGAUGGCAUCCUCCAUCGGCUCUACGAUGCCAUCCCGAGGAUGCUGGGAUGCUCCUGGGUUUGCUGAGCUGCUGCCGUUCAAGGACCACUGUGGGAUGCAGCCCGUGCCGGCGAGGGAUGCUCGGAGGUGCGAUACAGCGGUCCCAGGGGAAGGAUGGUGCAGGGGUGCAUCGUAAUGCAAAGCAAGGCUAUUUUAAACAAUGCAGCGCCAGAGGAGGACUCUCCUCCCUAUGCCAUGCCUGCAAAAUUAUAUCAACAAAUCUACAGAGACAUUUAUCUUCUUUUUUGGGUGUUUUUUUUUUGUUAUUGCAAAUCAGAAACAACCUAAAUCGCAAAGCCGUGUCCAGGAGGCUUUAACCUGAGCUCACGCUGCUGGAAUUCCCCGCUGUGCCUGGGAGAGGCUUCUCGCCUCCAAUCGCUUCCCGAUGCUGUUCCUGUUUCGACUCUUCCCCUCGCAAAAUGUCUCCCCCAGCUCGCCGGCAGCCUUGCCGAAGUUUUCCCGGCCGGAUUCGAGAUCCUGAUAUCCGGCCGGGCUGACUCAGCCAAGCCUCAAUUUUUUUAACCAGAGAGUAAUGCUGCUGGCGAGAGGUUACAACUCACUCUGUGGCCUUGCACAAGCCGGAGCUCCGGGUCAGAUCCUGUGUCAGGUUUUGAGCCGCUUGCGACAUUUCUGUCGGGUGGUUUUUUAAUUUCCUUUUUAAAAAAAAAAAAAAAAAAUAUAUAUAUGACUUGGGCUGGAGUUUGGGGCUCACGGUCCCUGCCGCAUCCCCUCCCUCUGCUGUUGACUGGGUAGAGCUUCCCUGAGCCCCAAAAUGGGGGGAAACUGAGGCAGAAAAGCACUGAGGAUGCUUUAACGCUGCAAACCUGCUGCUCUGGGCCUUUGCUGAUGCUGUAUGCACUCUGCCAGCCGAGCACCCCCAUGGUGGAUAAUAAACCACCCCUG